GGUUAAGCGACUAAGCGUACACGGUGGAUGCCCUGGCAGUCAGAGGCGAUGAAGGACGUGCUAAUCUGCGAUAAGCGCCGGUAAGGUGAUAUGAACCGUUAUAACCGGCGAUUUCCGAAUGGGGAAACCCAGUGUGAUUCGUCACACUAUCAUUAACUGAAUCCAUAGGUUAAUGAGGCGAACCGGGGGAACUGAAACAUCUAAGUACCCCGAGGAAAAGAAAUCAACCGAGAUUCCCCCAGUAGCGGCGAGCGAACGGGGAGGAGCCCAGAGCCUGAAUCAGCAUGUGUGUUAGUGGAAGCGUCUGGAAAGGCGCGCGAUACAGGGUGACAGCCCCGUACACAAAAGCGCAUGUGCUGUGAGCUCGAUGAGUAGGGCGGGACACGUGGUAUCCUGUCUGAAUAUGGGGGGACCAUCCUCCAAGGCUAAAUACUCCUGACUGACCGAUAGUGAACCAGUACCGUGAGGGAAAGGCGAAAAGAACCCCGGCGAGGGGAGUGAAAAAGAACCUGAAACCGUGUACGUACAAGCAGUGGGAGCACAGGUUUACCUGUGUGACUGCGUACCUUUUGUAUAAUGGGUCAGCGACUUAUAUUCUGUAGCAAGGUUAACCGUAUAGGGGAGCCGUAGGGAAACCGAGUCUUAACCGGGCGUUAAGUUGCAGGGUAUAGACCCGAAACCCGGUGAUCUAGCCAUGGGCAGGUUGAAGGUUGGGUAACACUAACUGGAGGACCGAACCGACUAAUGUUGAAAAAUUAGCGGAUGACCUGUGGCUGGGGGUGAAAGGCCAAUCAAACCGGGAGAUAGCUGGUUCUCCCCGAAAGCUAUUUAGGUAGCGCCUCGUGAAUUCAUCUCCGGGGGUAGAGCACUGUUUCGGCUAGGGGGCCAUCCCGGCUUACCAACCCGAUGCAAACUGCGAAUACCGGAGAAUGUUAUCACGGGAGACACACGGCGGGUGCUAACGUCCGUCGUGAAGAGGGAAACAACCCAGACCGCCAGCUAAGGUCCCAAAGUCAUGGUUAAGUGGGAAACGAUGUGGGAAGGCCCAGACAGCCAGGAUGUUGGCUUAGAAGCAGCCAUCAUUUAAAGAAAGCGUAAUAGCUCACUGGUCGAGUCGGCCUGCGCGGAAGAUGUAACGGGGCUAAACCAUGCACCGAAGCUGCGGCAGCGACACUGUGUGUUGUUGGGUAGGGGAGCGUUCUGUAAGCCUGUGAAGGUGUGUCGUGAGGCAUGCUGGAGGUAUCAGAAGUGCGAAUGCUGACAUAAGUAACGAUAAAGCGGGUGAAAAGCCCGCUCGCCGGAAGACCAAGGGUUCCUGUCCAACGUUAAUCGGGGCAGGGUGAGUCGACCCCUAAGGCGAGGCCGAAAGGCGUAGUCGAUGGGAAACGGGUUAAUAUUCCCGUACUUGGUGUUACUGCGAAGGGGGGACGGAGAAGGCUAUGUUGGCCGGGCGACGGUUGUCCCGGUUUAAGCGUGUAGGUGUGUGUUCCAGGUAAAUCCGGUUCACUUUAACACUGAGGCGUGACGACGAGGCACUACGGUGCUGAAGCAACAAAUGCCCUGCUUCCAGGAAAAGCCUCUAAGCAUCAGGUAACAUCAAAUCGUACCCCAAACCGACACAGGUGGUCAGGUAGAGAAUACCAAGGCGCUUGAGAGAACUCGGGUGAAGGAACUAGGCAAAAUGGUGCCGUAACUUCGGGAGAAGGCACGCUGACACGUAGGUGAAGUGAUUUACUCAUGGAGCUGAAGUCAGUCGAAGAUACCAGCUGGCUGCAACUGUUUAUUAAAAACACAGCACUGUGCAAACACGAAAGUGGACGUAUACGGUGUGACGCCUGCCCGGUGCCGGAAGGUUAAUUGAUGGGGUCAGCGCAAGCGAAGCUCCUGAUCGAAGCCCCGGUAAACGGCGGCCGUAACUAUAACGGUCCUAAGGUAGCGAAAUUCCUUGUCGGGUAAGUUCCGACCUGCACGAAUGGCGUAAUGAUGGCCAGGCUGUCUCCACCCGAGACUCAGUGAAAUUGAACUCGCUGUGAAGAUGCAGUGUACCCGCGGCAAGACGGAAAGACCCCGUGAACCUUUACUAUAGCUUGACACUGAACAUUGAGCCUUGAUGUGUAGGAUAGGUGGGAGGCUUUGAAGCGUGGACGCCAGUCUGCGUGGAGCCGACCUUGAAAUACCACCCUUUAAUGUUUGAUGUUCUAACGUGGACCCGUAAUCCGGGUUGCGGACAGUGUCUGGUGGGUAGUUUGACUGGGGCGGUCUCCUCCUAAAGAGUAACGGAGGAGCACGAAGGUUGGCUAAUCCUGGUCGGACAUCAGGAGGUUAGUGCAAUGGCAUAAGCCAGCUUGACUGCGAGCGUGACGGCGCGAGCAGGUGCGAAAGCAGGUCAUAGUGAUCCGGUGGUUCUGAAUGGAAGGGCCAUCGCUCAACGGAUAAAAGGUACUCCGGGGAUAACAGGCUGAUACCGCCCAAGAGUUCAUAUCGACGGCGGUGUUUGGCACCUCGAUGUCGGCUCAUCACAUCCUGGGGCUGAAGUAGGUCCCAAGGGUAUGGCUGUUCGCCAUUUAAAGUGGUACGCGAGCUGGGUUUAGAACGUCGUGAGACAGUUCGGUCCCUAUCUGCCGUGGGCGCUGGAGAACUGAGGGGGGCUGCUCCUAGUACGAGAGGACCGGAGUGGACGCAUCACUGGUGUUCGGGUUGUCAUGCCAAUGGCACUGCCCGGUAGCUAAAUGCGGAAGAGAUAAGUGCUGAAAGCAUCUAAGCACGAAACUUGCCCCGAGAUGAGUUCUCCCUGAGACUUAGAGUCUCCUGAAGGAACGUUGAAGACGACGACGUUGAUAGGCCGGGUGUGUAAGCGCAGCGAUGCGUUGAGCUAACCGGUACUAAUGAACCGUGAGGCUUAACCUU
rnacentral:rRNA from 1 species